rnacentral:rRNA from 1 species
GAUGAACGCUGGCGGCGUGCCUAAUACUUGCAAGUCGAGCGAACAGAUGAGGAGCUUGCUCCUCUGACGUUAGCGGCGGACGGGUGAGUAACACGUGGAUAACCUACCUAUAAGACUGGGAUAACUUCGGGAAACCGGCGCUAAUACCGGAUAAUAUAUUGAACCGCAUGGUUCAAUAGUGAAAGACGGUUUUGCUGUCACUUAUAGAUGGAUCCGCGCCGCAUUAGCUAGUUGGUAAGGUAACGGCUUACCAAGGCAACGAUGCGUAGCCGACCUGAGAGGGUGAUCGGCCACACUGGAACUGAGACACGGUCCAGACUCCUACGGGAGGCAGCAGUAGGGAAUCGUCCGCAAUGGGCGAAAGCCUGACGGAGCAACGCCGCGUGAGUGAUGAAGGUCUUCGGAUCGUAAAACUCUGUUAUUAGGGAAGAACAAAUGUGUAAGUAACUAUGCACGUCUUGACGGUACCUAAUCAGAAAGCCACGGCUAACUACGUG